rnacentral:rRNA from 1 species
GACGAACGCUGGCGGCGUGCUUAACACAUGCAAGUCGAACGGAAAGGCCCUGCUUUUGUGGGGUGCUCGAGUGGCGAACGGGUGAGUAACACGUGAGUAACCUGCCCUUGACUUUGGGAUAACUUCAGGAAACUGGGGCUAAUACCGGAUAGGAGCUCCUGCUGCAUGGUGGGGGUUGGAAAGUUUCGGCGGUUGGGGAUGGACUCGCGGCUUAUCAGCUUGUUGGUGGGGUAGUGGCUUACCAAGGCUUUGACGGGUAGCCGGCCUGAGAGGGUGACCGGCCAUAGUGGGACUGAGAUGCGGCACAGACCUCUGGGAGGCAGCAGUGGGGAAUAUUGCACAAUGGGCGGAAGCCUGAUGCAGCAACGCCGCGUGCGGGAUGACGGCCUUCGGGUUGUAAACCGCUUUCGCCUGUGACGAAGCGUGAGUGACGGUAAUGGGUAAAGAAGCACCGGCUAACUACGUG